UAGAUUUUAUUCUAUUCCAUAAUUUGAU
rnacentral:tRNA from 1 species